UACGUAGGAUGCAAGCGUUGUCCGGAUUUACUGGGCGUAAAGCGCGCGCAGGCGGCAGCCUAAGUACGGAGUGAAAUCUCCCUGCUCAACGGGGAGGGUGCUCUGUAGACUGGGCAGCUAGAGGACGGUAGAGGGGGGUGGAAUUGCUGGUGUAGCGGUGAAAUGCGUAGAGAUCAGCAGGAACACCCGUGGCGAAGGCGGCCCCCUGGGCCGAACCUGACGCUGAGGCGCGAAGGCUAGGGGAGCGAACGGG
rnacentral:rRNA from 1 species